rnacentral:lncRNA from 1 species
AUUCUCAAUCAAACCCAAAAGGCAGAGUAAAAUAGGUGUAACUCGGGGGACAGAGUGGCAGAUUCAGUGGAGGUUAUGCUUGAUUAUUGUUUCCAGAUUUCAAAUUUCAUUUAUUUGGGUUUUCGAUUUCGACUGAGUUUCCAUGUGUUAAUCAUUGUCGUUGGGCAAAUUUCAAACAGUGGGUGGUGACCGGGAGUUGCUCAUGACCUCUUCGUGCAAAUUAUGCUUCCAAAAAAUUAAUCCAUGAGGCAGGGGCUCUCGACACAGUUCCUCCAAGAGUGAGUGGAAUCAUGUUCAGUUUGAAUGAAAAUUUGAUUUGAGGAGUAAUCAACCAUUGACUCUCCCUUUUGUGUUGCAUAUUCCUGAUCAUUGGUUCCAGAUCACUUUUUCUUUCGGUUUGCUCAGUUGUUCUUCUU